rnacentral:rRNA from 1 species
GUGGGGAAUUUUGGACAAUGGGGGGAACCCUGAUCCAGCCAUGCCGCGUGUGUGAAGAAGGCCUUUUGGUUGUAAAGCACUUUAAGCGAGGAGGAGGCUACCGAGAUUAAUACUCUUGGAUAGUGGACGUUACUCGCAGAAUAAGCACCGGCUAACUCUGUGCCAGCAGCCGCGGUAAUACAGAGGGUGCAAGCGUUAAUCGGAUUUACUGGGCGUAAAGCGCGCGUAGGUGGCCAAUUAAGUCAAAUGUGAAAUCCCCGAGCUUAACUUGGGAAUUGCAUUCGAUACUGGUUGGCUAGAGUAUGGGAGAGGAUGGUAGAAUUCCAGGUGUAGCGGUGAAAUGCGUAGAGAUCUGGAGGAAUACCGAUGGCGAAGGCAGCCAUCUGGCCUAAUACUGACACUGAGGUGCGAAAGCAUGGGGAGCAAACAGGAUUAGAAACCCCUGUAGUCC